AUACGGAGGGUGCAAGCGUUACUUGGAAUCACUGGGCGUAAAGCGCGCGCAGGCGGUCUUUUAAGUUGGAUGUGAAAGCCUACGGCUCAACCGUAGAACUGCAUCCAAAACUAUUAGACUAGAGUGUGGGAGAGGAAGAUGGAAUUAGUUGUGUAGGGGUAAAAUCCGUAGAGAUAACUAGGAAUACCAAAAGCGAAGGCAAUCUUCUGGAACACUACUGACGCUGAGGCGCGAAAGCGUGGGGAGCAAACGGGAGUAGAUACCCUAGUAGUCC
rnacentral:rRNA from 1 species